CGGGCAGGAGAGACCGGCCUCUAAUUCUGUCCUGGGUUCUGCUAGAGAGAAAGCAGUGGUCAGAAUCACAGAGGUGCCUUGUGGACCUACGCCCGAUAUUCACACACUGGCAGCUCAGGUGCCGUCAUCUGGAGGUCCCACCGAGAUCGGGAAAGAGAGGACAACCUGACAGGAUCGUUCCAAAAGAUGGACCGGCAAGGAAGCGGAACGUAUUGGGGACAAGCGGUGACCACGGGGCAAAGUAGAGCUACAAAGGUUUUGUCUUAGCGAUGGGAACUACAAGUUCCUCGUUAUUGGUCGUAGAUCAGCUUAAUGGACACCCUGCUGAACUAUCUCCAGUCUUCAGUCUGUUGAACACCUUUGCUGAAACCUUCACUCCAGUCAGUAUGCUUCGUAGCUUUGUAAGUAGUGGAUUGUUUUUUUUUUACAAUGUUUCUUUAUUGGAUUCUCUGUUGGUUGAAACACUGUUGACUUGAACUCUUCUGGCUCUGGGUCUGUGGUUCCCUUAGCUCUUUAUGCUGAGUUUCCUGCAGGUCACUGAGCAGACGGUCGGCAGCCGAACCACCGCGCCCUCUAGCCACGGAGCAUCGGCUGUUCACUUCGAGACUGUCUUCUAGUUUCGACUCCAUCAUUCUGCAGACAGCCACGGAGCAUCGGCUGUUCACUUCGAGAGUGUCUUCUAGUUUCGACUCUAUCAUUCUGCAGACACCGGUUCUGACUGCCUCUGUCAGCUCGAUGGCUGGUGAUGGGAAGGACCAAGACCUGGAUUGCUUUUUUUUUUUUUUUUUUUUUUCCCUCCGGAGC
rnacentral:sRNA from 1 species